UUUCAUUUGAUAAUAAUUACAGGACGGAAUUCAAUUCCUGUUAUCAAUGUCACUUUAUUACUGCUGUGCAUCAUGCUGAUUGAAAUACGCAUUUAGAUAUGUAUUAGGUAUGCAUUUUCAUUUUAUCUUAUGACAUAAUAAUUACAUAUGUGUACUUUGUUACACAGGUAAACGGACUUCACCAUUUUCUCUAUAAAUAUUGAUCAAAGUUAGAUUUUGACUGAUAUAAAACGAAAAAUAACUUUUAUUUACAGUUUUCGAAUGAGUCCCCUGUGUGCUUCUUGGCAGUCUGAUUGUCAUCAUGACUUUCUGGAGUUCGUGUCGGCUUAAUGAGCCGUUAUAAGUUCACGUAUUCCAGAUUGAAAAUAGGAUUUUACCAGCAGCCUUUCAAGAAAUGUGCCACUGAUGAAUGACAAUUUUUUUACACAGUAAUACUAAUACCUUCAAUAUUACCAGGGAGUUGCCCGCUGAUAUUAAUCGCCUGUGGACCAAAAACUGCCUGUUCACUGGUUGGAGCUGCAGU
rnacentral:lncRNA from 1 species